rnacentral:lncRNA from 1 species
CGUUUGGUCCUGCAGCUCAUAAGAUUCAUGGUCAUGAACAAAAGGACACACAAGUUUAGGGUCCACGUCGAUCUACAGGAUGAGGGGAGGUGGAGAUUUGCAGCAGCCAGCAGAAGGUGGAUAGAAGACGGCACUGUCCUCUGGGUAAAAGGAGAAUCAACACUAGAAGCAUGAUAAGUGAAGCAAAGGUGGGGGAAGUUUGUGCAGACAGCAAGGUGGCUAAAGAGCCGCCGCUGUCAGACGUCAGUGACAGUGAUGACGGCAUGUCAGACGGUAGCGACGUAUCCACUGUGAAACAACUGACAGCAGUCAGGAAAAAAGGUAAAUUCUGAGCCAUCAGUCAAGGAAUACCAGAGCUGAUGGAGUGUAGGGGCAGUCUUCUGAUGACAGGUGCAGCUGUGGAGGCUGGAGAAGUUCAUCCAAGGUUUCCUUGACAACAGAGACCAGAUGAUGACCAUAGGACCCAUAGAGACGUCAUUAUUUGUGUUUCGGAGGCUCAGUGCAGUAACUCGUCGCCUGAGCAGUAAUUUACAUAGUGACAUAAAGUGGUGAUAAUCAUA